rnacentral:rRNA from 1 species
CAGCAGCAGCCGCGGGAAUACGGAGGGAGCUAGCGUUGUUCGGAAUUACUGGGCGUAAAGCGCGCGUAGGCGGUUACUCAAGUCAGAGGUGAAAGCCCGGGGCUCAACCCCGGAACUGCCUUUGAAACUAGGUGACUAGAAUCUUGGAGAGGUCAGUGGAAUUCCGAGUGUAGAGGUGAAAUUCGUAGAUAUUCGGAAGAACACCAGUGGCGAAGGCGACUGACUGGACAAGUAUUGACGCUGAGGUGCGAAAGCGUGGGGAGCAAACAGGAUUAGAUACCCCUGUAGUCCCUGUCUCUUAUAC